GGGCUGGGGCUCAGUGGCAGAGCGCUCGCCUAGCAUGUGUGAGGCACUGGGUUCGAUCCUCAGCACCACA
rnacentral:tRNA from 1 species